UGUGUAUGUAUAUAUAUAUGUAUAUACAUGUAUAUAUUUAUAUAUAUAUAUUUGUAUGUAUGUUAGUGAUAUUAAAACUAGUUUAUGGGUUAAGCCUCCCUGCAUGUUGAAAGAGGUAAAUAAGUGUUGGCAACAGGAAGAGCAUCUGGUGUAUGCCUUAGAAACAAACAAAAAAAAAAAAAACUGUCCAAUCAGUGCCAGCUUGGAAUAGCAGAUGGUGGUGAUGAUGAUGAUGAUGACAAUGGCGAAGACGAUGAUGAUGAUGAUGAUGGUGACUUGUUGAUAUUAUGGGAUGGCAGAAUCAGUAUUUUGGGUCUCACAAAAAUACCUUUUAUUACUCACUUUAGAUUCUUUGAAAUUCUGGUUACAUCCUUUUAAACCCAGGUUGAUUUUUGUCUUCCUUACUCUUAUAAUAAUAAUAAUAAUAAUGCUAAUGAUAAUGAUAAUAAUGAUAAUAAUAAUAAUAAUAAUAAUAAUAAUGGAUUUUCCCAUUAAUGACGAUGUACAAGUGUUCAGUUUUUGCUGAAUUACCUGCCUAAAUCAUUUGUUUAUAGUGAUCAAAUGUGUGUGUUCACACAAGCUCAUUCCCUCCAUCAAAUCAAUGUUUACCUGUAUAGGUGUGCAACUGUGCCAGAUGUUGAAAUGAUUGCAGAGCGAUGCAAAAUGAAGUGUUUUUGCUGAAGAACAUAAUGUGCUGCUCAGUCUGGGACUCAAACCCAUGAUCUGGUGAUCCUGAGUGUAACACCCAAACCAUGAGGCCAUGUAUCUUCACUAUAUAAUAAUAAUAAUAAUAAUAAUAAAAUAUU